UAGCAAUACAACCCAGCGGCGGACGGGUGCGUAACACGUAGGAAUCUACCUCUUUGUGGGGAAUAGCUCGCCGAAAGGCGGGGUAAUACCGCAUAAGCCUGUAAAGGGAAAGCGCUUAACCGCGCGCAGAGAGAGGAGCCUGCGGCCUAUCAGCUAGUUGGUGAGGUAACGGCUUACCAAGGCGAUGACGGGUAGGGGGUGUGAGAGCAUGACCCCCCACAAGGUCACUGAGACACGGGGCCUACACCUACGGGUGGCAGCAACUGGGAAUCUUGCGCAAUGGACGAAAGUCUGACGCAGCGACACCGCGUGUGGGAUGAAGUAUUUCGGUAUGUAAACCACUGUGGUAGGGGAGAAACUCAAUGAUAGUACCCUACUAGAAAGCAUCUGCUAACUACGUGCCAGAAGCCUCGGCAAUACGUGGGAUGCAAGCGUUAUCCGGAUUUACUGGGCGUAAAGGGUUUCGCAGGCGGAUUGUUAAGUCUAACUUUAAAGGCUACGGCUCAACCGUAUGCAUGGGUUGGAUACUGGCAGUCUUGAGGACAUCAGGGGAGACUGGAAUUCUCGGUGGAGGGGUGAAAUCCGUUGAUAUCGAGAGGAACGUCAAUGGCGAAGGCAAGUCUCUGGGGUGUUCCUGACGCUCAGGUACGAAAGCUAGGGUAGCAAACGGGAUUAGAGACCCCGGUAGUCCUAGCCGUAAACGAUGAAUACUAGUUGCUCCUCUCAUUGAGUGCAUCACAAUUUGGUGCACUGAUUGAGUGGGGUGACGCAAGCUAACGCGUUAAGUAUUCCGCCU
rnacentral:rRNA from 1 species